rnacentral:misc_RNA from 1 species
AACUCUCAACCCCCUUGUUUUGUAAUGAAGCAGGCGUGGGCUUGGAUUAUGGCUGUCUGCUGGACUCUUUAAGUAGAGAUCGGCUCGGCUGAAAUACACGAGUAACCCAGUUUGAAUAUUAACGGCUUGACUCGGCGUAAUAGCUUUAUUUCGCUGAGGACGUUUCAUAUCAAGAUAGUGGUGCUUCUAAUGCGUUGUGGCGUCAGCUUCACACACCUUUAAGC